GAUGGCUCGGUCCGGCACCUGGCUGGGCGCCCUUGUCCCACCGCGACUAAGAAUGAUACCCAGGCUGCUGGGGCGGAGAGGCGAAAGGUCAGCAAGUCGGAGGGAGUCUGACCAGUGCCCACAGCAUGAUCUUUGGGAACGGACGAGGCCUGCCCGCGACCCCCUAUGUUUAAGCCCCCAGCCUGGGACCGGCUAAGUGCCUGAGCUCUUCGCCCGCGAGGAGAGCCGGCGGCGAAGUUGGCCCGAGGAGCCCCGCGCCCUCCCUCUCUCCUCCUCCAGACGCGCUAGGGGGUGGCGGGUGGAAGGGGUUUCCCUAGUCUGCCCUGGGAUUGCCCAAGUGCGCACGUUCCCAUCCUCGCCUUUUCAUUCGGCCGUAGUUUCACCAGCUGCCUUCCUCGUGAGCUGCCAGCUUGGCGAACCCGUUGGUAACACAAGGAAGCUCUUUCUGGAUCCUUGACUGGUCUCCAGGUACACCCUAAGGGUGGUUAUUGCGAUGAAGCUGUGAUAUACGCACUGAAAGAAUGUGAUGCUCAUCAUAUUGGUAUGGCCAAAACACAUGGGUAUGAAGGUCUCUUGGGAGAAGCCAUCCAGGACAGUGCCAUGAAAUGUCCAGACUUUUCCCCGGACUCCCUCCCGGCUAGCCGUGGUGCACUAACGCCCUGCAGGCUGUGUUCACGCCGCCAACCACAGUCCUCUCCCGGUGCUCCGACUGAAGCCCGAGCCUCAGCUCCCAGCCCCGCCCGCCCCGGCGGGGGAGCAGACAAGCCUCUUGGCUGUCACAGCAACCACUGAAAAUCCAGUUUUGCAAUGAUAUGGCAUGGUCUAAAGACGACAGGACGUCCUUUUCACAUCCACAUGUGCACAACCGAGAGAAGUGCAUGAGCAUCAGAGAAGAAUUUAUUGUGUAUUAAAUAAAGGUACUGUUUCUCUCUCCCUCUGAGAAGGAGGAGAUAUUGGAAGGAAGAGUAGAAAAAAUAUAUCUGACUUAAAACACUCUCUUGUUUCAAGAAAACAGUAGUAUUAAUUGCUACCUAUACUCUUGACCUAGCUAAUGGGUAAUGAUGUAUCAUUUCCAGUCUCAAAUGUAAAAUAGAUAACUAGUGGGAAGCAGCUGCAUAGCACAGGGAGAUCAGCUCAGUGCUUUGUGACUGCC